UUUAAUUGAAGAGUUUGAUCAUGGCUCAGAUUGAACGCUGGCGGCAGGCCUAACACAUGCAAGUCGAGCGGUAACAGAGAGAAGCUUGCUUCUCUGCUGACGAGCGGCGGACGGGUGAGUAAGACUUGGGAAUUUGCCUUUAGGCGGGGGACAACCACUGGAAACGGUGGCUAAUACCGC
rnacentral:rRNA from 1 species